UACGUAGGGUGCGAGCGUUAAUCGGAAUUACUGGGCGUAAAGCGUGCGCAGGCGGUUAUUUAAGUCAGGUGUGAAAGCCCUGGGCUUAACCUAGGAAUUGCGCUUGAGACUGGAUAGCUUGGAGUGCGGCAGAGGGAGGUGGAAUUCCACGUGUAGCAGUGAAAUGCGUAGAGAUGUGGAGGAACACCGAUGGCGAAGGCAGCCUCCUGGGCCGACACUGACGCUCAUGCACGAAAGCGUGGGGAGCAAACAGG
rnacentral:rRNA from 1 species